rnacentral:tRNA from 1 species
AAGGGAGACCUAAUUCAGGUAGGAGACGAAAAAAUAGUAGUCCCAACCAAGAACCAAUCCCAAAAGGUCGGAGCGAGGCGAAAUUGGCUUUCAAACUAGGUUCUGGGUUCAAACAAGACCUGAAUCAGGAACAAGGGCUAUUAGCUCAGGUGGUUAGAGCGCACCCCUGAUAAGGGUGAGGUCCCUGGUUCGAGUCCAGGAUGGCCCACCUGCACAGGUGGCAAAAACAAAGAAGAGAAGCUCCGAAUCAGCACCUUAUCUUAUCUAUAGAUAAGAGAGAAUGCUGGCUCUGAGUUCAGAGUCCAGAGGAACCUUGAAAACUGCAUAGAGCUAGGUGAAAAAGCCAAAAAAGAAGACCGCAA